UGACAUGCAGUAAAAACCGAUUAACAUUUUAGAACUUAAAUAGUGUCUACAUAUGUGGAUUUGUCUCCCUUUUCCUAGGAAGAGACAUGUUCCCGGUUUCACUAGUAAAAUUUCUUACAAGAUCAGAAUCCAACAUGUUUGAGCCAGAUAUCACCUUUCAACAAUCCGCGCCUGAAGCUCAAAUCACAAAUUUUCCCAGACCAUUAAAAGAGUUAACUGACCCAAAACUAAGUUGUUCAUGGGAGUAAUUUACAUUUAACAACACGCAAAAGCCCUCGGUAUGUGGAACAAUAAACCUCUUGUGAAGCAUAUUCCACGAUAGACAUGGUCUCAAUGACAUUCACACCACUAGAGGUGACCUCCUCUGACAGGCUAUGAGGCGGUAUUUGGACCUGGAACAAGUGGCGGAUCCAGGAUUGGAGCAACCCCCGGGCACAAUUUUUUUUCCGGACGUGACAGAAAAAAUUAACGUCUAUCAGGCUAUAGCUACCUCAAAUAUGGCUCAAUUGCACCAAAAAUUUUGAAUACAAUUGAAUGUUUGACAGCAGCACCAACCAUAAGCAGUCUGCAGUAGCAAAUCCAAACAUUAUAGCAAAUAAAAAAUGUUCAAUCAUUAAAAAAAUUCUAUCAACAGCAGACAAUAGCCAUUACCAAAUACCCAGUAUCCUGGGCCUGGCCGCAUGG
rnacentral:lncRNA from 1 species